AACGAACGCUGGCGGCAGGCUUAACACAUGCAAGUCGAACGCAUCCUUCGGGGUGAGUGGCAGACGGGUGAGUCACGCGUGGGAACGUGCCCUUCAGUUCGGGAUAACCCAGGGAACCUUGGGCUAAUACCGGAUACGUGCGUGAGCAGAGAGAUAUAUCGCUGAAGGAUCGGCCCGCGUCUGAUUAGCUAGUUGGUGGGGUAAUGGACCACCAAGGCGACGAUCAGUAGCUGGUCUGAGAGGAUGAUCAGCCACAUUGGGACUGAGACACGGCCCAAACUCCUACGGGAGGCAGCAGUGGGGAAUAUUGGACAAUGGGCGCAAGCCUGAUCCAGCCAUGCCGCGUGAGUGAUGAAGGCCUUAGGGUUGUAAAGCUCUUUCGUCCGGGACGAUAAUGACGGUACCGGAAGAAGAAGCCCCGGCUAACUACGUGCCAGCCGCCGCUGUAA
rnacentral:rRNA from 1 species